GAUGAACGCUGGCGGCGUGCCUAAUACAUGCAAGUAGAGCGAAGAGGGGACGGGCGAGUAACACGUGGAUAACCUCCUAUAAGACUGGGAUAACUUCGGGAAACCGGAGCUAAACCGGAUACUACUAGAUGGAUCCGCGCUGCAUUAGCUAGUUGGUAAGGUAACGGCUUACCAAGGCAACGAGGCAUAGCCGACCUGAGAGGGUGAUCGGCCACACCGGAACUGAGACACGGUCCAGACUCCUACGGGAGGCAGGAGUAGGGAGUCUUCCGCAAUGGGCGAAAGCCUGACGUAGCCACACCGCGUGAGUUAGGAAGGUCUUCGGAUCUUAAAACACUGUUAUUAGGGAGGCGGUACCUAAUCAGAAAGCAACGACUAACUAGUAACCAGCCGCCGCGGUAAUAC
rnacentral:rRNA from 1 species